UUCAGGUAAGGAUACUACUUUUUCCCCUUCCCUCUCUUUUGGGUCAAAAUCCCGCCCUCCUCCCAGAUUCCCCUCCUUCCUUCCCUUUUUAUAGGGCCAUCCAGGUGCAGCAUUGGAUGCUGCUUCAUUCCGGGAGAGACACGUGUUGAGGGCACUCGUGGGAAAGGGAACUUCGCCUGCAAAUAACUUCUACAGGCCGGGAGAGGGUCCCUGCGCCCCGAAUGGAGGGCCCGGAUUCGUUGCCGGAGGACGAGGACGAGGGGGCCCCUGAGUGUGGGGAGGGGGCCCCCGGGGGGCGGUGGGCACGGCAGCAGCGGCUCUUCCGGGAGUUCUGCCAGGGGGCGGCCCAGGGGCCCCGCGAGACCUGCCUGCGCAUCCGGGCCCUGUGCCAGGAGUGGCUGCAGCCCGAGAGGCGCUCCCGCAGGCGCAUGCUGGACCUGGUGGUGCUGGAGCAGUUCCUCAAGGCCCUGCCGCCCGAAGUCGAGCAGCGCAUACGCAGCCUCGGGCCCCGCACCAGCACCCAGGCCGCCGCCCUGGCCGAGAGGCUCCUCCGCCGCAGGAAGAUGCGAGGAAAAACAGACGAACCCGAGGAUGAGGACACACCACCGGCCAACUCAAGUGAUGCACCCGAUGACGAAGAGAUCCUUCAGGAAAGUGAAAGAGAUGCUGAAUCCCCAGGAAAUGAAGCAUCCAAUGGAGACACCCAAAGGGCACCUGAGGGUCCUCUGAGACCUCCACCAUCUUUGCCUAAUAUGAUGGAAUUGCCUAUAGGAUCCAAUGAGAUCCAACAAGAUUCAAGAGAGGUAAGAAGGCUGGAAAUGGCUCUCCCGCAAACCUUCCUUUGUCCCGAAGCAUAGAAUCCAUAGGAUUGGAAGGGGUCCCCCUAAGGUCCAUCCAAUCUGACCCCAUUCUGGCGUAAAAGAAGACACUUGAAACCAUCCAGACAGAUCCACCACCCAAAUAAAUUACCCAGGAGGUUAUUUCACUUGGAGGAUUCAUUGGUGGCCUCCCAUCCAAGCACCAACCAGGGCAGACCCUGCUUAGCUUCCUAUAUUUGGUGCCUUCUUGAGGGCAUUUCAUCCUCCCAGGAAAUCAAGGCACCAAGGGGGAUCCCCAUUAGGCUGUAUUUUAUUUGUUUGUUUAUUUACUACAUCUAUAUCCCGCCCUUCUCACCCCAAAGGGGACUCAGGGUGGCUUACAAAUAAUAUGCACCUACAAUAUAUUAUAUUAUUAGCAUAGCACAAUAUUAGCAUUAUGUAUUACUGUAUUGUACUAUACCACUAUACUGUAAUAUUAUUAGUAAUAUUACAUGUAAUAUAUACUUAAUAUUAUAUUAUUAAUAUUAAUAUAAUAUUAUUAUAUUAUUAUAAUUAUAUUAUUAGCACAGCACAACAUUAUCUAUUACUAUAUUGUAUUAUACCACUCUACUGUAAUAUUAUUAGUAAUAUUACAUAUAAUAUAUAUAGUUAUUAUAUUAUUAUAUUGUAUUAUUAUUAGUAUAUUGUAUUAUAUGAUAAUAUUAUCAAUAUUAUAUGUACAUACAAUAUAUUAUAUUAUUAGCAUAGCACAAUAUUAGCAUUAUGUAUUACUAUAUUGUACUAUACCACUAUACUGUAAUAUUACAUAUAAUAUAUAAUAUAUAGUUAUUGUAUUAUUAUAUUGUAUUAUUAUUAGUAUAUUGUAUUACAUUAUAAUAUCAAUAUUAUAUGUACAUACAAUAUAUUGUAUUAUUAGCAUAGCACAAUAUUAGCAUUAUGUAUUACUAUAUUGUACUAUACCACUAUACUGUAAUAUUACAUAUAAUAUAUAAUAUAUAGUUAUUGUAUUAUUAUAUUGUAUUAUUAUUAGUAUAUUGUAUUACAUUAUAAUAUCAAUAUUAUAUGUACAUACAAUAUAUUGUAUUAUUAGCAUAGCAUAAUAUAAGCAUUAUCUAUUACUCUAUUGUACUAUACCACUAUACUGUA
ensembl:lncRNA